CUGAUUCCCAUGUGCUUGUUGGCUUCUUUGUGUCCUGCUUUAUGCUGCCAACAGCCAUUUUCAAAAGGCCUGAGGAAACUGGUGCCACAGGAUUCGUCCCGGAGACAGUGCAGAGGUAAAUAAAACCUUGCUUGAUGGGACCGGGAUAACCCCCACCGGUCCAGAGAGUAGGUGGGAUCGGGGGUACAGGGCUCUGGUGUCCACAGGGCGGUGUGUAGUCUCAGAUGUGGAGAUUGCCCGCUUCUCCCACCAAAAGCCCACACUAAGGCGCAACAAGUGCGGUUGGAC